AUCGAACGCUGGCGGCAGGCCUAACACAUGCAAGUCGAGCGGAGCGGCGAACGGGUGAGUAAUGCCUAGUAAUCUGCACGUUAGUGGCGGAUACCGUCGGGAGACGGGCGCUAUUACAGCAUACUAUCAGAUGAGUCUAGGUCGUAUUAGCUAGUUGGUGGGGUAAAGGCCUACCAAGGCGACGAUGCGUAACUGACCUGAGAGGAUGAUCAGUCACACUGGAACUGAGACACGGUCCAGACUCCUACGGGAGGCAGCAGUGGGGAAUAUUGGACAAUGGGCGAAAGCCUGAUCCAGCAAUGCCGCGUGAGUGAAGAAGGUCUUCGGAUUGUAAAGCUCUUUUGGUAGGGAAGCGGUACCAAAAGAGUAAGCACCGGCUAACUUCGUGCCAGCAGCCGCGGUAAUUC
rnacentral:rRNA from 1 species